ACAAACUUGGUCAUUUAGAGGAAGUAAAAGUCGUAACAAGGUUUCCGUAGGUGAACCUGCGGAAGGAUCAUUAUAGUGUGGGCGCUCGACGCCCAGAGAGACCACCCUUGAUUUUCCUAGACAGCCGUCCGUUUCCUGGGCAGGCGUGCCUGCCAGCGGGGGACUGAAACAAAAAAACUUGUAUCCCAGCAGUGACCGUCUGACAAGCAACAAGAAUUCAAAACUUUCAACAACGGAUCUCUUGGUUCUGGCAUCGAUGAAGAACGCAGC
rnacentral:misc_RNA from 1 species